GCCCUUAGAGUUUGAUCAUGGCUCAGAACGAACGCUGGCGGCGCGUUUUAAGCAUGCAGGUCGAACGGUAAGGCCCUUCGGGGUACACGAGUGGCGAACGGGUGAGUAACACGUGGGUGACCUGCCCAGAGGUUGGGGAUAGCCUGUGGAAACACAGGGUAAUACCGAAUAAUCUUUAGCACUAUGGUGCGAUAAGGAAAGGGGCUUCGGCCUCGCCUUUGGAUGGGCCCGCGUCUGAUUAGUUAGUUGGUGGGGUAACGGCCUACCAAGACCGCGAUCAGUAGCCGGCCUGAGAGGGUGAUCGGCCACACUGGGACUGAGAUACGGCCCAGACUCCUACGGGAGGCAGCAGCUAAGAAUCUUCCGCAAUGGACGAAAGUCUGACGGAGCGACGCCGCGUGGGUGAAGAAGGCAGGAAUGUUGUAAAGCCCUUUUAUAGCUGAGGAAUAAGGAUAGGAGGUAAUGCCUGUCUGAUGACGUUAAGCUAUGAAUAAGCCCCGGCUAAUUACGUGCCAGCAGCCGCGGUAACACGUAAGGGGCGAGCGUUGUUCGGAAUUAUUGGGCGUAAAGGGUGCGCAGGCGGCCCGUCAAGUCUGGUGUGAAAGACCGCAGCUUAACUGCGGACACGCAUUGGAAACUGGCAGGCUUGAGUACUGGAGGGGGAACUGGAAUUCCAGGUGUAGGGGUGAAAUCUGUAGAUAUCUGGAAGAACACCAGUGGCGAAGGCGAGUUCCUGGCCAUGUACUGACGCUGAGGCACGAAAGCGUGGGGAGCGAACAGGAUUAGAUACCCUGGUAGUCCACGCCGUAAACGAUGUACACUAGGUGUUGGCCCUUGCGGGUCAGUGCCGGAGCUAACGCGUUAAGUGUACCGCCUGGGGAGUAUGCCCGCAAGGGUGAAACUCAAAGAAUUGACGGGGGCCCGCACAAGCGGUGGA
rnacentral:rRNA from 1 species